GCUCCCUUGAUCACGGAAGCAAGAUCCAACAUGCUUGUAAAGCGAAGGUCGUCGGUUCGAAUCCGACAGGGGGCU
rnacentral:tRNA from 1 species